rnacentral:rRNA from 1 species
ACCCUUUAAUGUUUGAUGUUCUAACGUGGACCCGUAAUCCGGGUUGCGGACAGUGUCUGGUGGGUAGUUUGACUGGGGCGGUCUCCUCCUAAAGAGUAACGGAGGAGCACGAAGGUUGGCUAAUCCUGGUCGGACAUCAGGAGGUUAGUGCAAUGGCAUAAGCCAGCUUGACUGCGAGCGUGACGGCGCGAGCAGGUGCGAAAGCAGGUCAUAGUGAUCCGGUGGUUCUGAAUGGAAGGGCCAUCGCUCAACGGAUAAAAGGUACUCCGGGGAUAACAGGCUGAUACCGCCCAAGAGUUCAUAUCGACGGCGGUGUUUGGCACCUCGAUGUCGGCUCAUCACAUCCUGGGGCUGAAGUAGGUCCCAAGGGUAUGGCUGUUCGCCAUUUAAAGUGGUACGCGAGCUGGGUUUAGAACGUCGUGAGACAGUUCGGUCCCUAUCUGCCGUGGGCGCUGGAGAACUGAGGGGGGCUGCUCCUAGUACGAGAGGACCGGAGUGGACGCAUCACUGGUGUUCGGGUUGUCAUGCCAAUGGCACUGCCCGGUAGCUAAAUGCGGAAGAGAUAAGUGCUGAAAGCAUCUAAGCACGAAACUUGCCCCGAGAUGAGUUCUCCCUGAGACUUUAGGUCUCCUGAAGGAACGU